AUUGAACGCUGGCGGAAUGCUUUACACAUGCAAGUCGAACGGCAGCACGGGAGCUUGCUCCUGGUGGCGAGUGGAGAACGGGUGAGUAAUGCAUCGGAACGUACCUAUUAGUGGGGGAUAACUAUCCGAAAGGAUAGCUAAUACCGCAUACGUCCUGAGGGAGAAAGCGGGGGAUCGCAAGCCCCCGCGCUAAUAGAGCGGCAGAUGUUGGAUUAGCUAGUUGGUGGGGUAAAGGACUACCAAGGCGACGAUCCAUAGCUGGUCUGGGAGGAGGAUCAGCCACACUGGGACUGAGAAACGGCCCAGACUCCUACGGGGGGAAGCAGUGGGGAAUUUUGGACAAUGGGGGCAACCCUGAUCCAGCCAUUCCGCGUGGGUGAAGAAGGCCUUCGGGUUGUAAAGCUCUUUCGGCAGGAACGAAACGGUGGUUACUAAUACUAGCCGCUAAUGACGGUACCUGAAGAAGAAGCACCGGCUAACUACGCGCCAGCAGCCGCCGUAAAAC
rnacentral:rRNA from 1 species